rnacentral:misc_RNA from 1 species
GCCAGGUUUGAAAGCUUUGGAUUGAAUUAGCAAUAAGAUGCUGAUACCACUUAUAGGUGAGACUAGUCAAUGUGGAGGGAAGAACUCUACACAAAAUUUUGCUAGGUAACUUCUCAGGUCAAAUUUCCUAUCACACUUGUCAAGGGAGGGUAACUUAAACUUUGAUGGAAAAGGAAGUGCUAGAAUAUCGCCUGACAGGGGUGAGUAAUUGCCAACACCAAAGUCAUUAGGGUCAUAGUGGGAUUGGAAUUUUGGAACUAUUUUGACUUUUCCCCAAUCAAUGGCUCCCUUACUGAGUUAACCUCGAUAUCUCCCACCUUCUCUUUGCCCUUCGAUUGUUGAGUAACAAGAUCUGAAAUACCAUUAUUCUCAAGAGCCAUGGAUUUUUCAAGCUGCAAAUAUUGCUUCUUCAAGCCAACAUUUUUUGCUUCUAAGUCUUUGAUACACUAUCAUCAUCUGUUCAAGGGUCAUGGGAGGUUGUGGUGGAGUGUUGUUUGCAAUUGUACCAUCGUUGGUGGUACCAUUGCCAGUGGGAGAAUCCAUUGGUAGUGAUGGUGGCAAUAGAUCUGAAGCCAUGAUGGUUUUGACAAUGAAGAAAAACAACAAUCACAAAAUUUGUUUGCCAAUGGAAAAUUUUUGAGGCAAUGUUUUCACAAACGUCGCCAAUGAUUUUCUCCUCUUCUACGGGUAUGAAAUAAUGACUCUGGAGCUUAGAUCUUCAAGACAACACUAAAGAAUACCAAGUGAGUUAGCUAAUCACCACUUCAAUGAUUAAGUCAGUAUU